CCUCACUACCACACUAUGACAGGUUAUCUAGCCAGGACACCUCACUAUGACAGGUACAGUAACCAGGACACCUCACUAUGACAGGUACAGUAACCAGGACACCUCACUAUGACAGGUAAUGUAGCCAGGACACCUCACUACCACACUAUGACAGGUACAGUAACCAGGACACCUCACUAUGACAGGUAAAGUAACCAGGACACCUCACUAUGACAGGUUCAGUAACCAGGACACCUCACUAUGACAGGUAAAGUAGCUAGGACACCUCACUAUGACAGGUACAGUAACUAGGACACCUCACUAUGACAGGUAAUGUAGCCAGGACACCUCACUAUGACAGGUACAGUAACCAGGACACCUCACUAUGACAGGUACAGUAACCAGGACACCUCACUAUGACAGGUAAUGUAGCCAGGACACCUCACUAUGACAGGUACAGUAACCAGGACACCUCACUAUGACAGGUACAGUAACCAGGAAACCUCACUACAACACUAUGACAGGUAAUGUAGCCAGGACACCUCACUACCACACUAUGACAGGUAAAGUAGCUAGGACACCUCACUAUGACAGGUACAGUAGCUAGGACACCUCACUAUGACAGGUAAAGUAGCCAGGACACCUCACUAUGACAGGUACAGUAACCAGGACACCUCACUGUGACAGGUACAGUAACCAGGACACCUCACUAUGACAGGUACAGUAGCCAGGACACCUCACUAUGACAGGUACAGUAGCCAGGACACCUCACAAUGACAGGUACAGUAACCAGGACACCUCACUAUGACAGGUAAAGUAGCCAGGACACCUCACUAUGACAGGUACAGUAGCCAGGACACCUCACUAUGACAGGUACAGUAACCAGGACACCUCACUAUUACAGGUACAGUAGCCAGGACACCUCACUAUGACAGGUACAGUAGCCAGGACACCUCACUAUGACAGGUAAAGUAGCUGGGACACCUCACUAUGACAGGUAAAGUAGCUAGGACACCUCACUAUGACAGGUAAAGUAGCUAGGACACCUCACUGUGACAGGUACAGUAGCCAGGACACCUCACUAUGACAGGUAAAGUAGCUAGGACACCUCACUAUGACAGGUACAGUAGCCAGGACACCUCACUGUGACAGGUACAGUAGCCAGGACACCUCACUAUGACAGGUACAGUAACCAGGACACCUCACUAUGACAGGUACAGUAGCCAGGACACCUCACAGUGUGUGUGGUGUUCUCUAUAGUAGUAGUAGUACAUGUACAGUGCCUUCGGAAAGUAUUCAGACCCCUUGACU